rnacentral:rRNA from 1 species
AGACCCGAAACCCGGUGAUCUAGCCAUGGGCAGGUUGAAGGUUGGGUAACACUAACUGGAGGACCGAACCGACUAAUGUUGAAAAAUUAGCGGAUGACUUGUGGCUGGGGGUGAAAGGCCAAUCAAACCGGGAGAUAGCUGGUUCUCCCCGAAAGCUAUUUAGGUAGCGCCUCGUGAAUUCAUCUCCGGGGGUAGAGCACUGUUUCGGCAAGGGGGUCAUCCCGACUUACCAACCCGAUGCAAACUGCGAAUACCGGAGAAUGUUAUCACGGGAGACACACGGCGGGUGCUAACGUCCGUCGUGAAGAGGGAAACAACCCAGACCGCCAGCUAAGGUCCCAAAGUCAUGGUUAAGUGGGAAACGAUGUGGGAAGGCCCAGACAGCCAGGAUGUUGGCUUAGAAGCAGCCAUCAUUUAAAGAAAGCGUAAUAGCUCACUGGUCGAGUCGGCCUGCGCGGAAGAUGUAACGGGGCUAAACCAUGCACCGAAGCUGCGGCAGCGACACUGUGUGUUGUUGGGUAGGGGAGCGUUCUGUAAGCCUGUGAAGGUGUGCUGUGAGGCAUGCUGGAGGUAUCAGAAGUGCGAAUGCUGACAUAAGUAACGAUAAAGCGGGUGAAAAGCCCGCUCGCCGGAAGACCAAGGGUUCCUGUCCAACGUUAAUCGGGGCAGGGUGAGUCGACCCCUAAGGCGAGGCCGAAAGGCGUAGUCGAUGGGAAACAGGUUAAUAUUCCUGUACUUGGUGUUACUGCGAAGGGGGGACGGAGAAGGCUAUGUUGGCCGGGCGACGGUUGUCCCGGUUUAAGCGUGUAGGCUGGUUUUCCAGGCAAAUCCGGAAAAUCAAGGCUGAGGCGUGAUGACGAGGCACUACGGUGCUGAAGCAACAAAUGCCCUGCUUCCAGGAAAAGCCUCUAAGCAUCAGGUAACAUCAAAUCGUACCCCAAACCGACACAGGUGGUCAGGUAGAGAAUACCAAGGCGCUUGAGAGAACUCGGGUGAAGGAACUAGGCAAAAUGGUGCCGUAACUUCGGGAGAAGGCACGCUGAUAUGUAGGUGAAGUCCCUCGCGGAUGGAGCUGAAAUCAGUCGAAGAUACCAGCUGGCUGCAACUGUUUAUUAAAAACACAGCACUGUGCAAACACGAAAGUGGACGUAUACGGUGUGACGCCUGCCCGGUGCCGGAAGGUUAAUUGAUGGGGUCAGCGCAAGCGAAGCUCUUGAUCGAAGCCCCGGUAAACGGCGGCCGUAACUAUAACGGUCCUAAGGUAGCGAAAUUCCUUGUCGGGUAAGUUCCGACCUGCACGAAUGGCGUAAUGAUGGCCAGGCUGUCUCCACCCGAGACUCAGUGAAAUUGAACUCGCUGUGAAGAUGCAGUGUACCCGCGGCAAGACGGAAAGACCCCGUGAACCUUUACUAUAGCUUGACACUGAACAUUGAGCCUUGAUGUGUAGGAUAGGUGGGAGGCUUUGAAGUGUGGACGCCAGUCUGCAUGGAGCCGACCUUGAAAUACCACCCUUUAAUGUUUGAUGUUCUAACGUGGACCCGUGAUCCGGGUUGCGGACAGUGUCUGGUGGGUAGUUUGACUGGGGCGGUCUCCUCCUAAAGAGUAACGGAGGAGCACGAAGGUUGGCUAAUCCUGGUCGGACAUCAGGAGGUUAGUGCAAUGGCAUAAGCCAGCUUGACUGCGAGCGUGACGGCGCGAGCAGGUGCGAAAGCAGGUCAUAGUGAUCCGGUGGUUCUGAAUGGAAGGGCCAUCGCUCAACGGAUAAAAGGUACUCCGGGGAUAACAGGCUGAUACCGCCCAAGAGUUCAUAUCGACGGCGGUGUUUGGCACCUCGAUGUCGGCUCAUCACAUCCUGGGGCUGAAGUAGGUCCCAAGGGUAUGGCUGUUCGCCAUUUAAAGUGGUACGCGAGCUGGGUUUAGAACGUCGUGAGACAGUUCGGUCCCUAUCUGCCGUGGGCGCUGGAGAACUGAGGGGGGCUGCUCCUAGUACGAGAGGACCGGAGUGGACGCAUCACUGGUGUUCGGGUUGUCAUGCCAAUGGCAC